UACGUAGGGGGCAAGCGUUGUCCGGAAUCAUUGGGCGUAAAGCGCGUGUAGGCGGUUCGCAAAGUCUGGUGUGAAAACUUAGGGCUCAACCCUAAGCCUGCACUGGAUACUGGCGGACUUGAGUCCGGAAGAGGAGAGUGGAAUUCCUGGUGUAGCGGUGGAAUGCGCAGAUAUCAGGAGGAACACCGAUGGCGAAGGCAGCUCUCUGGGACGUGACUGACGCUGAGACGCGAAAGCGUGGGGAGCGAACAGG
rnacentral:rRNA from 1 species